CCUACACCUAGAGGCAUUGUAGCUUUGGCUCUGUGUUCCAUGUGUAUCAGUAGAAGGCAGAGAAGAGAGAGAGGCUAGUCUGUAUUCAGCACUCUGACCUGUAAACAUUCUGUAUCUAAUUCUUGGUAGCCUGACACU
rnacentral:snoRNA from 1 species